ensembl:lncRNA
GACAUAUGGCACUUCAUCUCUGCAACUCCCGCCAGGAGUCGCCUCUCGGACUCCCAUGGCCUGUGGGCACAGAGUGGGCCAUGGAGACAGACGCCUGACACCACCUUGAAGGACCAGUGCCAUCCUGGCAGAUGUGAGCGUCAUGGGGGUGACUGCCUGCCACUGCCCCGCUGUAAGGGCAGCCCCCACCCCAGCCCCAAGCACCCUCCAGAGCAUCCAGAGUGCCACUUGGCUGGCAGGCAGGCAGCCUGGGGGUGGGAGUCGGUGAAGACCCAGCCUCUCCUUAAAAAGGACAAUUUG